AUUGAACGCUGGCGGCAUGCCUUACACAUGCAAGUCGAACGGCAGCACGGGUGCUUGCACCUAGUGGCGAGUGGCGAACGGGUGAGUAAUACAUCGGAACAUGUCCUGUAGUGGGGGAUAGCCCGGCGAAAGCCGGAUUAAUACCGCAUACGAUCUACGGAUGAAAGCGGGGGACCUUCGUGCCUCGCUCUAUAGGGUUGGCCGAUGGCUGAUUAGGUAGUUGGUGGGGUAAAGGCCUACCAAGGCGACGAUCAGUAGAUGGUCUGAGAGGACGACCAGCCACACUGGGACUGAGACACGGCCCAGACUCCUACGGGAGGCAGCAGUGGGGAAUUUUGGACAAUGGGCGAAAGCCUGAUCCAGCAAUGCCGCGUGUGUGAAGAAGGCCUUCGGGUUGUAAAGCACUUUUGUCCGGAAAGAAAUCCUUGGCUCUAAUACAGUCGGGGGAUGACGGUACCGGAAGAAUAAGCACCGGCUAACUACGUG
rnacentral:rRNA from 1 species